rnacentral:rRNA from 1 species
AUUGAACGCUGGCGGCAUGCCUUACACAUGCAAGUCGAACGGUAACGGGCCUUCGGGUGCCGACGAGUGGCGAACGGGUGCGUAAUACAUCGGAACGUGCCCGAUCGUGGGGGAUAACGAGGCGAAAGCUUUGCUAAUACCGCAUACGAUCUACGGAUGAAAGCAGGGGACCGCAAGGCCUUGCGCGGACGGAGCGGCCGAUGGCAGAUUAGGUAGUUGGUGGGAUAAAAGCUUACCAAGCCGACGAUCUGUAGCUGGUCUGAGAGGAUGAUCAGCCACACUGGGACUGAGACACGGCCCAGACUCCUACGGGAGGCAGCAGUGGGGAAUUUUGGACAAUGGGCGCAAGCCUGAUCCAGCCAUGCCGCGUGCAGGAUGAAGGCCUUCGGGUUGUAAACUGCUUUUGUACGGAACGAAAAGCCUUCUUUUAAUACAGGAGGGUCAUGACGGUACCGUAAGAAUAAGCACCGGCUAAGUACGUG